rnacentral:rRNA from 1 species
AACGAACGCUGGCGGCAUGCCUAACACAUGCAAGUCGAACGAGACCUUCGGGUCUAGUGGCGCACGGCUGCGUAACGCGUGGGAACCUGCCCUUAGGUUCGGAAUAACUCCCCGAAAGGGGUGCUAAUACCGGAUAAUGUCUUCGGACCAAAGAUUUAUUGCCUUUGGAUGGGCCCGCGUUGGAUUAGCUAGUUGGUAGGGUAAAAGCCUACCAAGGCGACGAUGCAUAGCUGGUCUGAGAGGAUGAUCAGCCACACUUGGGCUGAGACACGGCCCAGACUCCUACGGGAGGCAGCAGUGGGGAAUAUUGGACAAUGGGCGAAGGCCUGAUCCAGCAAUGCCGCGUAAGUGAUGAAGGCCUUAGGGUUGUAAAGUUCUUUUACCCGGGAUGAUAGUGACGGUACCGGGUGAAUAAGCUCCGGCUAACUCCGUG